AUUGAACGCUGGCGGCAGGCCUAACACAUGCAAGUCGAGCGAGAGGCGGACGGGUGAGUAAUGUAUGGGGACUGCCCGACAGAGGGGGAUCACUACUGGAAAAGGUGGCUAAUACCGCAUACCGUCGGAUAACCCAUAUGGGAUUAGCUGGUAGGUAAGGUAAUGGCUUACCUGGGAGACGAACCCUAGCUGGUCUGAGAGGAUGAUCAGCCAAACUGGGACUGGGACACGGCCCAGACUCCUACGGAGGCAGCAGUGGGGAAUAUUGGACAAGGGGGGCAAGCCUGAUGCAGCCAUGCGGCGGGUAUGAAGAAGGCCCUAGGGUUGUAAAGUAUUUUCAGUCGGGAGGCGUUACCGACAGAAGAAGCACCGGCUAACUCCGUGCCAGCAGCCGCGGUAAUUC
rnacentral:rRNA from 1 species